CUUACAUGGUGGCAGAGGUGCCGAGCGGAAAUGGCCACGCCGCCAGCCCUUUUGCCGUCAACGAUCUUGCCGCCGCCAAAGCCGUUGGAUACAUCGGGCAACACCUGGCUUGCAUGGAAAACUUGGAAGAAGACUGAUGGGAAGGCAGACGAGGACCCUGCUGCCCGUACCCACAAGCCACCUGGUGCCGGAGACUGUGCCCAACCGAGCCGUCCAUAACCGUCUCCAGGAAAUUCGCCAACGCCAGAGAAUCUACUACAAUCGCCGCUCCAGGAACCUGCCACCCCUGUCACCUGGCCAGAGGGUGACUACAUACGAUACCCACGAAAGGACCUGGACACCUGCGGUCUUUCUCAGGCCAGCUGAGACGCCGCGCUCCGUGGUGGUGAAGACUGAGGAGAGCCAGGAAAUUAGACGUACUCGCGAGCAUCUGCGAGACGCACCUACACAUACCGAAGAGAGUCCUCGUGACGGGUCCGAACGACUAGACGACGCCCAGCCCGCUCAAGAGCUACGUAGAAGCACAAGGACACGCCGGGAGCCCUGCCGCUACCCACAACCAGAAAGAGCUGUGUAAUUAACUUCUUCCCCAAGAAAAG